UCCCUAAAAUGUAUAAAAACAAGCUGUACCUUGACCUCCUUCGACACAUUCAGGAUCUCCUGAGGCUGUGUCACCGGCACGUCCUUAAACUUGGCAAAAUAAACUCUCUAAAUUGAUUGAGCCCUGUCUCAGAUACUUUGGGGUUCACAAUACUUGGCAAUGGUACAUAUUUAUGGUUUCCAUACAUGUAUACAUUGUGUAAUGAUCAAAUCAGGGUAACCAGCAAAUCCAUCACCCCAAACCUUGAUCAUUUCUUUGUGGUGAGAACAUUCAGACGUCUCUUGUCGCUGUUUGGAAACACACACCACGUUAUUGUUAACUGUCCUCACCCUGGGGACAGCAAGGAGGGCCGAAAGGAAGUGCAGGCUGCUGUGAGCGCCUUCAAGAGGGGGCAGCACUGAGCUCACCUGCGAGCCUAGGCCUGGAGAGCAGCUGGAGUCUCCAGCCCGAGGGGAGGCGGAGGAGGAAACUGCCUUGCAGGCAGAGGGAAGAGCAUGUGCGGAGGCCCCGAGGCAGAGCCUGGCAAUUCGUCGGCGGAACAGAUGCUGGAAGUGGGGAGGAGGAGGAGGAGGAACAGGAGGAGGUACGGGGGUCUGGGCCGCUGUAGAGAGCCGAGGCCUCUGAAGUCUCAGCACUAGGGCAGUGGGAAGCUGUUACAGGGUAGACGCCCGGGAUGUGGGAGGGGCUAUAUGAUAAUCUGGGAGGUUUUUUGUUUUUUUUUUUUUUUUUUUUUGAGAUGGAGUUUUGCUCUUGUUGCCCAAGCUGGAGUGCAAUGGCGUGAUCUCGGCUCACCGCAACCUCCGCCUCCCGGGUUCUAGUGAUUCUUCUGCCUCAGCCUCCCGUGUAGCUGGGAUUACAGGCAUGCGCCACCAUGCCCAGCUAAUUUUUGUACUUUUAGUAGAGACGGGGGUUUCACCUUGUUGGUCAGGCUGGUCUCGAACUCCCGACCAUAGAUGAUGCGCCCGCCUUGGCCUCCCAAAGUGCUGGGAUUGCAGGCGUGAGCCACUGCGCCCGGCCUGGGAGUUGUUCUGUAUUGUGGAGUAAAGGGAGGCA
rnacentral:lncRNA from 1 species